rnacentral:rRNA from 1 species
UACGGAGGGUGCAAGCGUUAUCCGGAUUCACUGGGUUUAAAGGGUGCGUAGGUGGGUCUGAAAGUCAGUGGUGAAAUCUCCGUGCUUAACAUGGAAACUGCCAUUGAUACUCUGGAUCUUGAAUUUUCUGGAGGUUAGCGGAAUAUGUCAUGUAGCGGUGAAAUGCUUAGAUAUGACAUAGAACACCAAUUGCGAAGGCAGCUAACUACGGGAACAUUGACACUGAGGCACGAAAGCGUGGGGAUCAAACAGG